rnacentral:tRNA from 1 species
GUAGACGUUAGCUCAGUGGUUAGAGCUCUCGCUUGUUAUUCUCGGGGUCCGCGGUUCAAGCCCGUAUCUACU